rnacentral:rRNA from 1 species
GGUUAAGCGACUAAGCGUACACGGUGGAUGCCCUGGCAGUCAGAGGCGAUGAAGGGCGUGCUAAUCUGCGAUAAGCGCCGGUAAGGUGAUAUGAACCGUUAUAACCGGCGAUACCCGAAUGGGGAAACCCAGUGUGACUCGUCACACUAUCAUUAACUGAAUCCAUAGGUUAAUGAGGCGAACCGGGGGAACUGAAACAUCUAAGUACCCCGAGGAAAAGAAAUCAACCGAGAUUCCCCCAGUAGCGGCGAGCGAACGGGGAGGAGCCCAGAGCCUGAAUCAGCAUGUGUGUUAGUGGAAGCGUCUGGAAAGGCGCGCGAUACAGGGUGACAGCCCCGUACACAAAAGCGCAUGUGCUGUGAGCUCGAUGAGUAGGGCGGGACACGUGAUAUCCUGUCUGAAUAUGGGGGGACCAUCCUCCAAGGCUAAAUACUCCUGACUGACCGAUAGUGAACCAGUACCGUGAGGGAAAGGCGAAAAGAACCCCGGCGAGGGGAGUGAAAAAGAACCUGAAACCGUGUACGUACAAGCAGUGGGAGCACCCUUCGGGGUGUGACUGCGUACCUUUUGUAUAAUGGGUCAGCGACUUAUAUUCUGUAGCAAGGUUAACCGUAUAGGGGAGCCGGAGGGAAACCGAGUCUUAACCGGGCGUUAAGUUGCAGGGUAUAGACCCGAAACCCGGUGAUCUAGCCAUGGGCAGGUUGAAGGUUGGGUAACACUAACUGGAGGACCGAACCGACUAAUGUUGAAAAAUUAGCGGAUGACCUGUGGCUGGGGGUGAAAGGCCAAUCAAACCGGGAGAUAGCUGGUUCUCCCCGAAAGCUAUUUAGGUAGCGCCUCGUGAAUUCAUCUCCGGGGGUAGAGCACUGUUUCGGCUAGGGGGCCAUCCCGGCUUACCAACCCGAUGCAAACUGCGAAUACCGGAGAAUGUUAUCACGGGAGACACACGGCGGGUGCUAACGUCCGUCGUGAAGAGGGAAACAACCCAGACCGCCAGCUAAGGUCCCAAAGUCAUGGUUAAGUGGGAAACGAUGUGGGAAGGCCCAGACAGCCAGGAUGUUGGCUUAGAAGCAGCCAUCAUUUAAAGAAAGCGUAAUAGCUCACUGGUCGAGUCGGCCUGCGCGGAAGAUGUAACGGGGCUAAACCAUGCACCGAAGCUGCGGCAGCGAACGUAUCACCCAAGACAACUUUACGGAGUUGACGAUUGACGGAGCGAAGCGACGUCAAAGCGUUCAUUAAAGUCGAGUUGGCUUAGGGAUACGUUCGUUGGGUAGGGGAGCGUUCUGUAAGCCUGUGAAGGUGUGUCGUGAGGCAUGCUGGAGGUAUCAGAAGUGCGAAUGCUGACAUAAGUAACGAUAAAGCGGGUGAAAAGCCCGCUCGCCGGAAGACCAAGGGUUCCUGUCCAACGUUAAUCGGGGCAGGGUGAGUCGACCCCUAAGGCGAGGCCGAAAGGCGUAGUCGAUGGGAAACGGGUUAAUAUUCCCGUACUUGGUGUUACUGCGAAGGGGGGACGGAGAAGGCUAUGUUGGCCGGGCGACGGUUGUCCCGGUUUAAGCGUGUAGGUGUGUGUUCCAGGUAAAUCCGGUUCACUUUAACACUGAGGCGUGAUGACGAGGCACUACGGUGCUGAAGCAACAAAUGCCCUGCUUCCAGGAAAAGCCUCUAAGCAUCAGGUAACAUCAAAUCGUACCCCAAACCGACACAGGUGGUCAGGUAGAGAAUACCAAGGCGCUUGAGAGAACUCGGGUGAAGGAACUAGGCAAAAUGGUGCCGUAACUUCGGGAGAAGGCACGCUGACACGUAGGUGAAGUGAUUUACUCAUGGAGCUGAAGUCAGUCGAAGAUACCAGCUGGCUGCAACUGUUUAUUAAAAACACAGCACUGUGCAAACACGAAAGUGGACGUAUACGGUGUGACGCCUGCCCGGUGCCGGAAGGUUAAUUGAUGGGGUCAGCGCAAGCGAAGCUCCUGAUCGAAGCCCCGGUAAACGGCGGCCGUAACUAUAACGGUCCUAAGGUAGCGAAAUUCCUUGUCGGGUAAGUUCCGACCUGCACGAAUGGCGUAAUGAUGGCCAGGCUGUCUCCACCCGAGACUCAGUGAAAUUGAACUCGCUGUGAAGAUGCAGUGUACCCGCGGCAAGACGGAAAGACCCCGUGAACCUUUACUAUAGCUUGACACUGAACAUUGAGCCUUGAUGUGUAGGAUAGGUGGGAGGCUUUGAAGUGUGGACGCCAGUCUGCAUGGAGCCGACCUUGAAAUACCACCCUUUAAUGUUUGAUGUUCUAACGUGGACCCGUUAUCCGGGUUGCGGACAGUGUCUGGUGGGUAGUUUGACUGGGGCGGUCUCCUCCUAAAGAGUAACGGAGGAGCACGAAGGUUGGCUAAUCCUGGUCGGACAUCAGGAGGUUAGUGCAAUGGCAUAAGCCAGCUUGACUGCGAGCGUGACGGCGCGAGCAGGUGCGAAAGCAGGUCAUAGUGAUCCGGUGGUUCUGAAUGGAAGGGCCAUCGCUCAACGGAUAAAAGGUACUCCGGGGAUAACAGGCUGAUACCGCCCAAGAGUUCAUAUCGACGGCGGUGUUUGGCACCUCGAUGUCGGCUCAUCACAUCCUGGGGCUGAAGUAGGUCCCAAGGGUAUGGCUGUUCGCCAUUUAAAGUGGUACGCGAGCUGGGUUUAGAACGUCGUGAGACAGUUCGGUCCCUAUCUGCCGUGGGCGCUGGAGAACUGAGGGGGGCUGCUCCUAGUACGAGAGGACCGGAGUGGACGCAUCACUGGUGUUCGGGUUGUCAUGCCAAUGGCACUGCCCGGUAGCUAAAUGCGGAAGAGAUAAGUGCUGAAAGCAUCUAAGCACGAAACUUGCCCCGAGAUGAGUUCUCCCUGAGACUUAGAGUCUCCUGAAGGAACGUUGAAGACGACGACGUUGAUAGGCCGGGUGUGUAAGCGCAGCGAUGCGUUGAGCUAACCGGUACUAAUGAACCGUGAGGCUUAACCUU